CAGGUCUUGACAUCCUUUGACAAUCCUAGAGAUAGGACUUUCCCUUCGGGGACAAAGUGACAGGUGGUGCAUGGUUGUCGUCAGCUCGUGUCGUGAGAUGUUGGGUUAAGUCCCGCAACGAGCGCAACCCCUAUUGUUAGUUGCCAGCAUUCAGUUGGGCACUCUAAUGAGACUGCCGGUGACAAACCGGAGGAAGGUGGGGAUGACGUCAAAUCAUCAUGCCCCUUAUGACCUGGGCUACACACGUGCUACAAUGGAUGGUACAACGAGCAGCAAGACCGCGAGGUCAAGCGAAUCUCUUAAAGCCAUUCUCAGUUCGGAUUGCAGGCUGCAACUCGCCUGCAUGAAGCCGGAAUCGCUAGUAAUCGCGGAUCAGCACGCCGCGGUGAAUACGUUCCC
rnacentral:rRNA from 1 species